rnacentral:rRNA from 1 species
AACGAACGCUGGCGGCAUGCCUAACACAUGCAAGUCGAACGAAACCUUCGGGCCUAGGUGCGCACGGGUGCGUGCCACCUGGGAAGCUACCCUUAGGUUCGGAAUAACUCACUGAAAGAUGAGCUAAUACCGGAUGGUCUAAUACGUCCAAAGAUUUAUCGCCUCAGGAUGGGCCCGCGUAGGUUUCGGUAGUUGGUGAUGUACAAGCACACCAAGGCGACGAUCCUUGGCUGGUCGGAGAGCAUGAUCAGCCACACUGGGACUGCGACCCGGCCCAGACUGCUACGGGACGCAGCAGUGGGUUAUAUUGGGCACGGGGCGCAAGUGUGGUCAAGCAGUGCCGCGUGAGUGAUGAAGGCCUUAGUGUUGUACAUCUCCUUGUGCCGGGAUGAUAAUGACAGUACCGGGAGAAUAAGCUCCGGCUAACUCCGUG